CCGCGGGUCGCCGCGCAUUGGGGCCGCGAUUGCUGUGCAGCGUCGGAAGCCGGCGGCCUCAGGGAGGAGACUGGGGAGAUGGAUUUGAAGAGGAUUGAACAAAUUGGAAGAAAAUAUUUGUCCUCUGCUUUGGUGUCAGAAAAGGGAAUUUUCCAAUCUGCCACACCUCAGUGUUGCGGCAAAAAUAAUUCUUGGCUCCCCUGGAAACUAUCGGGCAAGGUAGGGCAGAACUGCUGCUGCUGUCGCCAUUACCCUGGGCUUCCUAUUGAAUGGGCUGCUCCCAAGUGAACAGAUCUGCGUUGAUGCUCUGGUCGUCCAAAAGUCCUCAAAUCAGCUCUGAGCUGAGCCCACUAUUGGAAGAAUCUGCCUUUUGGAAGUUGACGCUACCUUGUGCUUGGGAAGAUUUGGCUCAAGCACUCUUUCCCUGCCUGGAGACUUAUUGGGGAUGUAAAAUGAGAGAAUAGCAGGUGACCAGCAAAUUAGGGGAGGAUUAAAUACUUCCAAGUUGUCACAGCAAGAAGAAAGAGGAAUAUCUCAGGAGUUUGACCUCAAGCCUACAAAGUGGUGGUAUUCUACCAAGAGUGAGUACACCUUUGUUUCUGAAGGGAUGAGGUGAUGGUCGG
rnacentral:lncRNA from 1 species